rnacentral:rRNA from 1 species
CCUACGGGAUGCAGCAGUGAGGAAUAUUGGUCAAUGGGCUUACGCCUGAACCAGCCAAGUCGCGUGAGGGAAGACUGCCCUAUGGGUUGUAAACCUCUUUUGUCAGGGAGCAACGCCGGCUACGUGUAGCCGGACGGAGAGUACCUGAAGAAAAAGCAUCGGGUAACUCCGUGCCAGAAGCCGCGGUAAUACGGAGGAUGCGAGCGUUAUCCGGAUUUAUUGGGUGUAAGGGGUGCGUAGGCGGAGUGGCAAGUCAGCGGUAAAAUCGCGGGGCUCAACCUCGCUCCGCCGUUGAAACUGGCGUUCUUGAGUGGGCGAGAAGUAUGCGGAAUGCGUGGUGUAGCGGUGAAAUGCAUAGAUAUCACGCAGAACUCCGAUUGCGAAGGCAGCAUACCGGCGCCCAACUGACGCUGAAGCACGAAAGCGUGGGUAUCGAACAGGAUUAGAUACCCCUGUAGUC